UACGUAGGGGGGCAAGCGUUGUCCGGAUUUAUUGGGCGUAAAGAGCGUGUAGGCGGCCAGGUAGGUCAGCUGUGAAAACUCGAGGCUCAACCUCGAGACGCCGGUUGAAACCAUCUGGCUAGAGUCCGGAAGAGGAGAGUGGAAUUCCUGGUGUAGCGGUGAAAUGCGCAGAUAUUGGGAGGAACACCAGUGGCGAAGGCGGCUCACUGGACCGGUUCUGACGCUGAUGCGCGAAAGCGUGGGGAGCAAACGGGG
rnacentral:rRNA from 1 species